rnacentral:tRNA from 1 species
GCCGCCAUAGCUCAGCUCGGUAGAGCGUCUGCCUGUUAAGCAGUUGGUCUUCGGUUCAAAUCCGAAUGGCGGCG